CUACGGGCGGCAGCAGUGGGGAAUUUUGCGCAAUGGGGGAAACCCUGACGCAGCAAUACCGCGUGAGUGAAGAAGGCCUUUGGGUCGUAAAGCUCUUUUCUUGGGGAAGAUAGUGACGGUACCCAAGGAAUAAGCACCGGCUAACUCCGUGCCAGCAGCCGCGGUAAUACGGAGGGUGCAAGCGUUGUUCGGAUUUACUGGGCGUAAAGGGCACGUAGGCGGCACAGCAAGUUAAGGGUGAAAUCCCGGGGCUCAACUCCGGAACUGCUCUUAAAACUGCUGAGCUAGAGAUAGUCAGAGGCGGGUGGAAUUCCAGGUGUAGAGGUGAAAUUCGUAGAUAUCUGGAGGAACACCGGUGGCGAAGGCGGCCCGCUGGGGCUAUUCUGACGCUAAGGUGCGAAAGCGUGGGGAGCAAACGGGAUUAGAUACCCUGGUAGUC
rnacentral:rRNA from 1 species